GUUAUAGUGUCUAAAAACAAUAUUCAGUUAAUGGAAUUACACUUUUUUCCAUUACUGCUUGCUUGAUAUUGCCCUAACAACUUUUUCAUGAAUCAAUUUUGAGCAUUAUGUUUACAACGUAGUUAUUAUAGCACGAAUUAUGAGUCUAAAAUGCCAAAUACUUGCAACUAUUAUGUUAAUCACUGAAAUCUUAGUGUACUAAUUGCUCGCUAUAAGCUAGGUUAUUGCGCCCCUAAACCAACGUACUGACAACGCUACCUCCCCGGAACUCAAACUUUAACCGGGCAUGACUUGGUACAUCCAGUGACCCAGCAAAAAGUAGCCCUGGUACAGCCAGAAGUAGCAACAAAUCGCAAAAGGGGAUCCUUGUCUGACUGGUGGCUGGACCACAAUGAAAAUCUAGGAAGAAGUCGCCACCCACUGAUGAUCUCAUCCACGUUUACCAAAGACUCCAAAGCAGUGUAGGAGAGGAAUGGUGGCCUGUUCGAACAGGCAUGGACUGAAUCGCCAGCUCUCAUCUCCUAGUCACUCCGAUGGCCUCGUGUCGCUCCUCGAUCAACAGCGAUUUCAAUGAAUGAUGCGUUGAUGUGGGCAAAAAGUGAAUCCUUUCUCGCCUUUGAACUCUGGUGUUCGUCGUAUCAAUCCAUUUUGAUUGCCGAGCAACUUGUGGGCACAUCUCAACUUGUUAGUGGGAAGUAAUUUGCAAUAGAGUGACUUACUUUUAUGGGCAGAGACCUGUAUUCAUCCACGACCGGAAGUGUGGCACAGUCACAUAGAGCUUAUCAAAAUGUCAAGUUGUGGUAAAUACAUGGCUGGGAUGGACCAAAGUGGAAUUAAUUCUCAAUCUGUGGUUGAUUCUUAAUCUACAAAGUCAGGCCAUCACAGAAAUAUGCUUUUUGAUAAUAUAUUUAAGAAAAUGUGGUCUCACUGGUCAGUUUAGAACUUGUACUUUGACAGGGCCAUAUCAAUGCGCCAGUGACGUUUUGAUGGAUAUGGUGUACGGAAAUCUCUUUUUCUCAGGCAAUCGGUAUUGGAAUUUUUUAAAACUUUAUUAUGCUAUUGGCAAAGGGUUCUUCUUGACACAUAUAAAAUUUUGUGCAGAUUGAUUGGUCCAAUGAGUACUUUUUUUACCAAAACCUAUGCACAACAAUGUACACGUAAUGUACACAUGUUUUAAUAGAGGACUCUGGCCUUAUUGCUAUAUUUUUUUAUUUUUUUUUCACUUUACAUCAUUGUUAUUUUGAAAAAUCCUGCCAAAAUUCUGUUGACUGUUUGUUGUCGACAAGAGUCUAUGUUUCAUGAAUAACAAGGCUGUGUUCUGUA